rnacentral:rRNA from 1 species
AAGCGUGCGCAGGCGGCUUUGCAAGACAGAUGUGAAAUCCCCGGGCUCAACCUGGGAACUGCAUUUGUGACUGCAAGGCUAGAGUACGGCAGAGGGGGAUGGAAUUCCGCGUGUAGCAGUGAAAUGCGUAGAUAUGCGGAGGAACACCUAAUGGCGAAGGCAAUCCCCUGGGCCUGUACUGACGCUCAUGCACGAAAGCGUGGGGAGCAAACAGGAUUAGAUACCCUUGU